rnacentral:rRNA from 1 species
CCUACGGGGUGCUGCAGUGGGGAAUUUUGCGCAAUGCUCGUAAGAGUGACGCAGCGACGCCGCGUGAAUGACGAAGGCCUUCGGGUCGUAAAGUUCUUUCGACAGGGAAGAAAAUGCCUAUAAGUAACUGUGUAUGUAUUGACGGUACCUGUAUAAGCAGCCCCGGCUAACUCCGUGCCAGCAGCCGCGGUAAUACGGAGGGGGCGAGCGUUGUUCGGAGGGACUGGGCGUAAAGAGCACGUAGGCGGUGUUGUAAGUCAUUAGUCAAAGACUAGAGCUCAACUUUAGUAGGGCUAGGGAUACUAUAAGACUAGAGUAUCAGAGAGGAUUGCAGAAUUCCUGGUGUAGCGGUGAAAUGCGUAGAUAUCAGGAGGGAUACCGUUGGCGAGGGCGGCAAUCUGGCUGGAAACUGACGCUGAGGUGCGAAAGCGUGGGUAGCAAACAGGAUUAGAUACCCUAGUAGUC